rnacentral:tRNA from 1 species
GGGGUUGUGGCUCAGUAGUAGAGGGCUUGCCUUGCAAACAUGGAACACUGGGUUCGAUCCCCAGCACCA